rnacentral:rRNA from 1 species
CCUACGGGAGGCUGCAGUGAGGAAUAUUGGUCAAUGGGCGAGAGCCUGAACCAGCCAAGUCGCGUGAGGGAGUACUGCCCUAUGGGUUGUAAACCUCUUUUGUCGGGGAGCAAAAGCCGGGCGUGUCCGUCUGUGAGAGUACCCGAAGAAAAAGCAUCGGCUAACUCCAUCCCAGCGGCGGCGGUAAUACGGAGGAUUCGAGCGUUAUCCGGAUUUAUUGGGUUAAAAGGGUGCGCAGGCGGAUUUUUAAGUGAGCGGUAAAAUCGUGGGGUUCAACCCCAUCCAGCCGUUGAAACUGGGGAUCUUGAGUGUGCGAGAGGUAUGCGGAAUUCGUGGUGUAGCGGUGAAAUGCAUAGAUAUUACGCAGAACACCGAUUGCGAAGGCAGCAUACCGGUGCACAACUGACGCUCAGGCACGAAAGCGUGGGUAUCGAACAGGAUUAGAUACCCCAGUAGUC